UGUGGCGCAAAGGCUUCGUUUCGUUCUUGCAAGGUGCCCCGCGCCGCCGUUGUUCGUUUUCCUCUCGUUCCCUUUGCCUUCGAAUUUGCUUCGCUUCCAUGUCUAGUGCGCGACGCUCGCGCGGCCGCAACGGCAAGCUGGCAACAUGCGAAACCUACUCGCGUGCCGACGAGGCGCUCUGGGACGAUGCGUAUUUGUUGAAGUUGUUCAAUGAGCAACUCGACAAUGCCAGCGCCGUGAAAGAUGCUCAUGAGGAGACGCAGGAUGACGACGAAUCCGUCCUGUCCACGGAAACCGAGAGAUCGGACGGCGAGACGGGGCGUGUGGCCGCUUCGGCGACAUCGUCAAGCACAGCCGCAUCGGAGGGAGAGGUGCGAGUGCAACGGGGAUCGAUGUCGGCAAAGUCCGAGAUGAUUUCGCGCAGCUUCCCAUCUUUGAAUGGCCUUCCUGAGGACAUUCAGGCACUUGUGCAGUCUUUCUACAACGCUGGGUUUGAGGCCGGCCGUUUUGUGGGUCGAUCCAAUGCAUCCAAGAAGUGUGGCCGCAAACGCCAUCGCUGACGCACAAGGUGUGCGUACCUGGCUAGGGCCCUCUGCAGGGCCGACGAGUGGGCGGGUGCCUUGUCGCGUGCAUUCGGCGCGGACCUCCAGGGUGUCGGCGGCUUGCUCAUUGCGCCUGCUGAACGAACUCGAUGGAAUCCCCUUCCCUCCGCUCCUCACGCGCGGCGUGUACAUGGGAGGGCAUCCGUGCACGCGGAGGUAGUGGUUUCAAAAAAUUCUUUUCUGUGCGCGCGUCUGUGUGCCUUGCGCUUCCGCCGACUGUACUGCGGCAAUUAGUGGAUUGGGGGUGUGGGUCUGUCUGCACAGCGUUGUCAUUGUCUGCCAAGCUCUGCCCGUCCCUGCAGGCGAAAAGCUUGCCUAGGGCACAAGCAUGAAGACGAGGCCACCCAGCUCGAUAGGUGAUCAUCCCUGCUUUUUCCAGGAGUCGCCCGUGAGACCUGGAAUUCCGCGAGCACAUCUUUCUGUGCCGUUUGAGCUACCCGUCGACCGCCUGCGCAGUGAGCGGAACGCUGUGUGCGAUGUUGUUGGCGUGCCUGCAAGGAAGCCGAAUCCAAGCGAAGCGCUCUUCUCUUUUUGUCCUCCCUGAUUCACGAAGGCUCAUGCAUCUUUCACCUCCCCUUCUCUGUGCGCUCCCAUCGACUCUGUGCGGCGAGCCGUACCAUCCUGCCUCCUUGCAAG
rnacentral:misc_RNA from 1 species